UCGAUAUCCUCGGACAGUCUCCUGGAGGCACGAUGCAUGGUCUGCUCGCCAUAGCGGGGGCACGUGCACGCUCUGUUCGUACAUCCAUUCACACCUGUGCACCUAUGUAGUUCUGUGGUUUGGGGGACUCUGUCCUCUCGCUGUGGUUCUAUAUCUUUACACACGCUCUGUAAUAAAGUCUCAUGGAAUGUAUGCAGCGUUUAACGCAAUACAAUACAACUUUCAGCAACGGAUCUCUUGGCUCUCGCAUCGAUGAAGAACGCAGCGAAAUGCGAUAAGUAAUGUGAAUUGCAGAAUUCAGUGAAUCAUCGAAUCUUUGAACGCACCUUGCGCCCUUUGGCUAUUCCGAAGGGCAUGCCUGUUUGAGUAUCAUGAACACCUCAACUCUCAUGGUUCGCCAUGAUGAGCUUGGACUUUGGGGGUCUUGCUGGCCUGCGGUCAGCUCCCUUCAAAUGAAUCAGCUUUCCAGUGUUUGGUGGCAUCACGGGUGUGAUAAAUAUCUACGCUUGUGGUUUCCUGCCAGGUAACCUUCAGUGAUGGAGGUUCGCUGGGGCUCAUAAAUGUCUCUCCUCAGCGAAGACAGCUUUGUGAACGUUUGAUCUCAAAUCAGGUAGGACUACCCGCUGAACUUAAGCAUAUCAAUAAGCGGAGGAAAAGAAACUAACAAGGAUUCCCCUAGUAACUGCGAGUGAAGCGGGAAGAGCUCAAAUUUAAAAUCUGGCGUGCCUCUGGUCGUCCGAGUUGUAGUCUGGAGAAGUGUUUUCCGUGCUGGACCGUGUACAAGUCUCCUGA
rnacentral:rRNA from 1 species